rnacentral:misc_RNA from 1 species
UUUUUUCAGCAUGGCGGCCUCCAUGAGUAACAACAUCAUGUAAACAGAGUUUUGAAUUUUAGAGAGUAAUUUUAGAUAUCAUUAUGUAUAUUCCAGCUGAUAAGAAAAAAUCGAAGUCUUUCGAAGGAUAUACACUAAUAGUGCCUGCAGUUUCUGUUGGAAAUGUGGGCCAGCUCGCUUCAGACUUGUUGAUUUCCACCAUGUGGUUGGAGCGAUGUGGAUUUAUUUACCAUGAUAGCAUCCUGCCUCUGGUAGGAAACGAUCCCUAUGCUCACCCUGAGGCAGAUGUCUGUAAACUUGUGACAGCGUGUGAAGUCUAUGAGAGCAAACUACAUCAGCUUGUCAUUAUUCAACAGAGAGCUCCCUUUGUGAAGGGUAAAAUGUCUAGUUUCCGGCGCUGGCUGACUGGCUGGGUAAAGGAGAAUAAAUUUGAAAAACUGGUUAUACUGAGCAGUAUGCAUGCACAUGAAAGGCUCGAUAUUCAAUUACAAGGACUUGGAGGCCGAGAACAAAGAAAGAUUCACACAUGACGUUUUAAAGUGGAUUCCACUGGAAGGAAGACCGUCAUUGGAGGACCCAGAGGGAUCGCUGUAUCUUCCAGGAGGAGGCAUAGCCAAGAGCUUAUUUGAAGACUGUUCUAAGGAGAAUAUACCUGCCAUUGUUGUACUUGUGUUUUGUGCUGAAGGAGACAAUGCCCAAGAUGCAGUGAAGCUGGCCUACAAUCUGAAUUUGUGGAUGGAUUUGAUCGAUUUUAAGCCUAAGUAUGACUUAGAUGGAAAAACCAUCAUCAAGCCAGCCUCCACCUGGAGAGUUCCAUCGUCAUGGCGACUGUUGUUUGGGACAGCUGUGGAUCAGACUUUGUUUCAUUGAAUCUUCAAAUUACAAUAAGUGUAAACUGACCUCUUCCCUGUAAACUGACCACUCCCCAAUCCUGCCACCACCUUGUGUUUCAAUGAUUACAUUGAUUCAUAUUUCCUUGGGUUUUUCAAGCAUCAUUUAGAAAAAAUAUAUGUGCCCGUGAACCAAGCGAUUCAGUUGUCAGUUUUUGGUAUUUGUACAUAAAUCGCAAUAUUAAAACUGCAAUUCCGCAGCAAAUUAAAAUCGGAUCUGAGUGAUACCCCCACCCCCAAUUGUUUUUAAUACCUUUACAUACAAAACAUUGUGAAGUGAGAUUUAUAGCACAAUUUCAAGUAAUCAUGUAUGCUCAAUUCAAAACUGUCUUACAACUAUGUAUUGAAAUGUUUAUGAAUUAAAGUUAUUCAUGUAUUUGU